UACGUAGGGGGCAAGCGUUGUCCGGAAUCAUUGGGCGUAAAGGGCACGUAGGUGGUCUUGUUUGUCUGGGGUGAAAUCCUUGAGCUUAACUCAAGAAGUGCCCUAGAAACGGCAAGACUCGAGUCCUGGAGAGGGUGGUGGAAUUCCCGGUGUAGCGGUGAAAUGCGUAGAGAUCAGCAGGAACACCCAGGGGGAAAGCAGCCGACUGGGCAUCUACUGACGCUGAGGUGCGAGAGCGUGGGGAGCGAACCGG
rnacentral:rRNA from 1 species